AGAAUAUCCAGAGUCAGAAUGCAGCCAGAACAAUGAGGUUGUGAAAUGUAGAGGGCCAUGUCUUUAGCUGUUAUUAAUCUGAGAUCAGCUGUUCUCUAGCCACGCUAAAUCUGUUAUGGGAUGGAUACAGAAUGUUCCAUUGUUGGCAUAAAAAUGGUUAAUUCUGAAUAAGAGUUUUCAUUUCCUUUUAUCUGGCCCAGGGACUAAAAAAAGGGAUGUUUUAAAAACUAAACUGGAGAGUUAAGGCCAGAAUUAGGAGGACAAUUUCUGUCAGUGCCUUUCUAAGACAGCAAUGUGACUUCUGAGGCACCUAUGUUUGCAGACUUUUAAAAUAUUGCAACAUACAGUCUUAGCAGAAGCACAGAAGACUUUUUUUUAAACUUCAUGUCAUAUCUCAUCACAUUAUGGAGGCCUGUGCUGCAUAAUGUAAUGAGAUGCACAUUUAACACACAGAGCUUUUCUUGUGAUAUCAAACAGGAGAGAGUCUUAGGGAGCAAAUUAGGUCAUUCACUGCUGAACUAACUGGUCAGCAAACUGAUGUAAUGACUGUUUUCAAGUUUGCUCUUGAAUUUGCCACUUUCCUGCCUCCCCUUAAAUCAGGCAGAAAAUAGAGCUGUGUCAAAAAUUAGGUACUUCCAAAGAAAUUGUUCCCCUUUUUGUUCCAUUUUCUUUGGCAUUCAUCAUAGGGAAAGGAAAGGAAAAAAAAAAGUCCUUUUACCUAGGAUAUUUUCACCACUUUGAGCGUAAGUGAAAAGCAGCUUUUGUCAGCAAAGUGCUUUUUGCUGCCUGAUGGGUAAUGUAAUGUGUGAGUCAGUGUGGAAGAGGAGUUGAAGGUCAAAGCUGUAAGAGUACUUGCAGUGUCACUUGGUGUCCUGAUCUGGAUGUUAUGCAUGUAAUUUUUGUAGCUCACUGUCAAAGAAGGGAAAUCAUCCCACAACUGGAAGUUUGCAAGAGUUUUGAAGAAUAAGUUUAGAAAAAUGACUCUUUCAAAAUGUGCCAAAAAUACUAAAAAGAUUAAUUACUUGAUUCUGUUUCCCAUAGGGUGUGUAGAAGUUUUCACAUUUCAUUCUCUGAACACCAGCACCCAUUUUCUCCAUUUGUAAAAGCUUACAAUAAACUUUGAAGGGUGAAAUACUGAUGAGUUUUGCCACUGCCUUGGUGAAGCUCAGAUUUAUCCAGAAAGAACUCACAGAGAAAAGUAGGGCUUGCAAGACAGCAAGACAGUAACAGAAAGUUUAAAGCACUUGAAAAGUCCUUGUGAGUUCCUUUAGCAGACAUAGCCAUUAUGAAAGCAUUUUCAGAUGAGAUUCUCUCUUGGAAAAUAUUGCUGAAAAUACCCUGUUUGUUUUUCAGCAACAUUAACCUUUUAAAAACCUUUUAAAAAUACCACUUAUGCUCUAAAAUGAAGUGUGCCUAUGCACACUGGUUUUCCUGUUUUCAGCAGAAAGGCCUUAGUUGGUUUUUUUUUUUUUUUAACAUCAAAAAGGUAGAAUGAAAGGUUCCUUUAAAGAACCUUAGCUUAUUUACCCUGCACAACUGGACAUUAGUAAUUUUACCCAAUCUUUUCACUGACUGGUUUUGUAGCUUGGCUUAAAAAUAUUGUUUUUGACAUUUAAAGCCUGUAAUUGACUAGGUCUCAACAAAGUCCCUUACUGAGCUUCUGGCACUCUGCAUACCACUUCCUUCUUUUGGGUCAAAAGGGGCAAAACUCUUGUAUUUGAAGGUCUGCAGAAGCAGAAAGGGCAGUGUUAACGUUUCUGCAUGUUCAGCUAAAGAUCACAGACCAGUCACCUAGCUGACUUUUCCCAGGAUUGUGUAUUUCUGUUUAAGGAGGAAUUGCAAUCCCUUUUGUUUCUAGGAGCUCUGAAAGGACAUUGUUUAACCUAGUAUUUCAAAACCUUUUUGAAAUUUGUGAUAAAUUGCAAUAAUGUUGGUUUUUUUUAACUUUUCAGAAUGUGAAAACCUGUAAUCAAAGGGAAACAGCAUACAUUUACCUCAGCUCCUAGUGUAAUUUCACUUGAUUGAUUCCACAGCUCCUAAAUGCUUUUCCUCAGAAAUGGAUCCAGCAUAAUUUUUCAGGCUUCCUGUCUUGUAGAGUUUUGCUCAUCUGGGAUCUGCCCUUGUAACUGUCUCAGCAUGUGACUAAAUCAACUGGAUUUCUUGUGUAGAAGCUCUUCACGCUUCUGAACCCAAAUAGACAGACCCCACAAAGAUUGAUGGGGUCAGUUUUACAGAAGUUUUCUCUAUUUUGGCAAGAUAAAUUGUGGAAAAUGGCCAGGAAGGAUACCUCAGAAAAGUUCCAUGAAUGUUUGUCAUAAUAACAAUGACAAUUAUAAUAGUUACAGACCUGGAAGACAGAUAUAACCAUGGGGAGCAAGCUUACAGACUGCUCAGGAGAAUACAUAGAAUAGUUCCCUUCUCACCCCAAAACCUGGGAGAUAAAAUCAACCAAGUGAAGAGCUAAGCAAAUGAAAACUCAAGGAAAAGAAAAAAGGGAAAGAAGGAAAGAAGAUAGAUA